rnacentral:rRNA from 1 species
UACGUAGGGCGCAAGCGUUGUCCGGAAUUAUUGGGCGUAAAGAGCUCGUAGGCGGUUUGUCGCGUCUGCUGUGAAAACCUAAGGCUCAACCUUGGGCUUGCAGUGGGUACGGGCAAACUAGAGUACUGCAGGGGAGACUGGAAUUCCUGGUGUAGCGGUGAAAUGCGCAGAUAUCAGGAGGAACACCGGUGGCGAAGGCGGGUCUCUGGGCAGUAACUGACGCUGAGGAGCGAAAGCGUGGGGAGCGAACAGG